UACGGAGGGAGCUAGCGUUGUUCGGAAUUACUGGGCGUAAAGCGCGCGUAGGCGGCUUUGUAAGUUAGAGGUGAAAGCCCGGGGCUCAACCCCGGAACUGCCUUUAAGACUGCAUCGCUUGAAUCCAGGAGAGGUGAGUGGAAUUCCGAGUGUAGAGGUGAAAUUCGUAGAUAUUCGGAAGAACACCAGUGGCGAAGGCGGCUCACUGGACUGGUAUUGGCGCUGAGGUGCGAAAGCGUGGGGAGCAAACAGG
rnacentral:rRNA from 1 species